rnacentral:lncRNA from 1 species
CGUCCCACACAAUGUGAAGAUGAGACCACUGUGUGUCUAAAUGAGGUCUGCAGGAUGGGCACCCUCCAGGCAGGUGUGAUGGAGAAGCUGACAGAGUCCAUGGUCCCAGCCUUCCCGGGUAGAGUCAUCUGCAAUGUCACCACAUUUGUGUGCAACUACUCAGCCUUCAACACUUCCCACCAGGUCCUGGACCAACUGUUUACCAGAUCUACAGCAGGCUCCUGAUUCCCUGUGGAAGCAUCUGGCAACGUGGCUGGGCAGCCAAUGAUGCCAAAGUCCGGGGACCUGGCUUAUCUGUCAAAUUCUUGGGGGCUGUCUGGUCAGGCUCAGCAAUGGUUGUCCAGAAACCGCCCCAUGUGUGGGCAGGCCAUGUGGCAGGAACUGUGGGCCUUGGCCCAUGGAAAAGAGGUGACAGUGUAUCAUGUUCCUGGCCAUAUGCCUCUGAC